rnacentral:rRNA from 1 species
CAGGAGCUGCCUAGGGUAAAACUAGUAACUAGGGCUAAGUCGUAACAAGGUAGCCGUACCGGAAGGUGCGGCUGGAACAUCUCAUUUUAGAGACUCAUU